UUAUCACCUGCAGGAAAAUGGAGACAUACAACAAUCAACACCUAGUGCCACAAACCCCUGAAGCUGUAAAAUGCAAUCAACCACUAAAUUUCUGAAAGAAGUCACUAGAUAGUGUGUGUGUGUGUGGGGGGGAAACCUGGUCACUUUUAAAUUGUCUUUUUUUCCUGAUUAUGCGAUUCCCUGGCUGACCCUAGCUAAAUGCAUUAUACCUUCUGAUCUCUGCAUUUUUAAAGGCAACUAAAAACAGUAUUGUGCCCAGAUUGAAAAAACGAUUAAGCUGGAGAUAAGGAAACCAGACCACAUCUUACAUCUCAGUCUGUUUCCACUGUAAAAUACAGGAUGAAGUUAUGUUCCCUGGCUGUCAUUGUACUGUUAUUGUCAUGCAUGUCUUGGGGCUGGCUUCAUGAUCUCAUUUUCAUUCAUGGCUAGCCUCAGUAUUGUGCUUAUGACAUUAGCAAUUGCCUAAUCUGUGCUUUUUUGAGGCUUCUGAUACAGAGAAAAUGGCAACUUUUCAUUAAAAAUAACAAUAUUUAUAUCCUGCAGCUAUCUGCUGCAUUAAAGAAGGAUGGCUGCUCCCAUGAACGAGGUAUGAUCAGGCAUGUUAAUACUAAGACAAGAGGCCUCUGCAAAAAAACAGGAUAUUAAGAUCUCUUUUCCCCCUUCCUACAGGUCUGAGUCACUGCCCUGGCAGGCCUAGUAAUUAUCAGGAUGAGAUUACAAAAAGCACAGUUCUGACUACUUUGAUUUGUUAACAAACCCAGUGGUGUGUAUCCCAAAUCAAGGCAGGUUAUGGAUGUCUUGGCCAGUUUCGGUGCAGUUAGUUUGUCUAUUACGUUGUAUCAGUUUUCCUAUAUCAGUUUCCCAUAUUUUUGCUUAAACAUUAAGCUGCUACUAUAUAGAGUUGAUCUAGCACCUUUUUCGGACCUGAAGUAAUUAAUGGUAAAUGCAGUUUACUUACCCUUUUUUUGUUUGUUUGUUGCAAUUUUGCCUUUCAGGUAAUGAGAUAAAAGAUGCUAAAAAUAAUUGGUUUGGAGAAGUGACUAUAUUACAGAUCUUUCUAGCAUAGAGGAGUAUUGCGUGUCCAUGCCUUCGUUUGCUCAGCACUGUUGCGUGCUCAUUGUUGCCGUGCAAAAACGUAAGGAGACCUAGCUAUUUCCCAGUUGUCAGAUGCCACCACCUGUACUUUUCUUGCUAACUGCAAUGCACAUAAAGUAUAGCCACCAAAGACAGUGUGUGGUCCUUCUGUACUUUGCCAGCAAAUAACUGGAAGAAGCUGAUUUGACUGCGUACUUUAACAAACAGAACCCCAAGGACUCGGAUGACUGCAGCCACUGGACUUUUAUCAGUAUCUGGAGACUAGUUAUGUGAAGUAUGAGAAACACUGGCUGCUAUCAGCAUUCGAGCCCUUCCCAGGAUGAACAAUCUGCUUUGCCCUUCUUCUUCCUCACCUCCUUUUACAUGUGUUGUGGGAGGUGCUGGGGUGCCCCAGUGAUAAGUGAUAUAUCGCUAUUAGAGUGCCAAAAAAAUGCCUAACGCUAGAGUUUCUUGGGCUUGCACUGUCUUGUGUUUUGGCUACAUCAGGAUCAACAGCUGGGGGUGCUGCCUAAAAAAUUCUUUAAAAGAUAAUGACUUGAGGCCCUGCAGAUGGCCAAAUGUUCUGGCGCCACUUGAGACUCCUGUCAAGGAGGGGAGGCAUUUUUGAGGAGCUGUGUAUCUUGUACUGGAAGAUUUUGUUGCAUCUUUCCCUAAUCAUUCCAAAUGCUUUGCCAGUUACAGAGACUUCCAGGGCCUCUCCCCUCUAAGUAAUCAGUUCAACAGCAAUUUGACAUGGUUCCUGUCUUGAAAAGUGGAUCCAUGAGGACGUGCCUGCUGGUCUCAUUGAUUCUAACAGGAGCUGCAGUGAAGGGCUGUGCUCAGGAAUGAGGCACCAUGUUUUGGGCCCAAGGAUCCAGUAAUGAAGAGGAGGCCUCCAGCCUUGCUCCCUAUUAUCAAGCAACAGGAAAUAUGACCUGUUUUCCACGGAGCUGGGCCAGGAGUGAUCUUGGUGAAAUCAGAACUGGUUGUUUCAUGGGCACAUCCUGACAGCUGUGUGUGAUUUGAGCCAUCUCAGCAUCCUCUUGAGCUCUGCCUUCUAAUACUUACAGUACAGCUCCCAGCCAGCUUAAAUGGAGAAGCAGCUGACUCUUCUGAGUUGCAUCUAAGAUGAUGUACUUUUUCUUUGGAGGAUUAAAGUCACUGAGAACUAACAUGUGGGAGAAGCAAGAGGAUUUAACUGUCAGGAAAAUUUUGUUUCACAAUUAAGCUUGGGACUUGGGAAAGAAGAAACGAUGGACUUCUUUCCAGCAGGUAGCAACUUUCAGCAGUCCUGAAGUGGAAGGCCAGGUCUGAGCAAACAAAAGAAAAACAGCUGGGUCACUGGGAAUGAGAGCAGUGACCGUGCCAAUGCUAUGAUAAGAUUUGGUGCAUCUGAUCAACCAUAGAUUCCCCCCCAAACUAAUGCUGAUCCUUCUGCAACGGUCAAUAUAUGAACCUCUACAAAAGCAUUAAAGGGAGUUGUCCCUCCCCUAAGGGAGUUUGUCUGUUCUCUGCCACUUCUACUAUUGUCUCUGUUUUGUGUGGUACUGCAUAGUGCUCCUCUUAGGAUAAGACCAAUAGGGAAAGGAAAACAAAGGCUGAGAAACAAGAGGGGGGAGAAAGAGAGAAUUAGUAAUUAACGGGAGA